UCCUGACCUCAAGUGAUCCACCUGCCUCGGCCUUCCAAAGUGUUGGGAUUACAGGCGUGAGCCACCACCCCCAGCCAGAAUGACACUGUUUUGAGUAACCCAGUAUAGUAUGUGAUAUUAAACUAAAUUUGGAGGAUUCUAGAAUUCUAGAUUGGCUGCCUAUGACGACAGACCUCUUUUGGCUCCAAUUACUCCCUCAUUUUCAGGUGACUCAGAGAACUUCAAGUGACCAGCACAGUGGUACAGCCCCACUUGUCGUUAAUGGCCAGCCAUAAAAGAACCCAAGUUUCUCAGCUCAUAGGCCAGGUUCUUCAGUGGUUGUCUAGUUUAAGGCUGGUCAUUAGCAAUAUUAUGGACGACCUAAGUUCCUCGAACUUAUGCAGUUUAUAGCUUUUUAAGAAUUUAAGAAGUGGAGAAGGGGAAGCAUGAGAAACUUAAAGGAUGCAAAUUGAGCAUCUCUUAAAAUAUAAUGGAUUUGUGUAGGUGAAACAGAUUUGUUGCCAAAAGUUAAUUUGUGCACAAGUUAUCAGGAACACACUUGAUAAAAUUAGAUGCUGAUUAAUUGGAGAUACAUUGUAUCCAGAGAUACACAAGAAUCCAGAGGAAAUAAACAGAGAAGGAGAGGAACUAUUACUGAAUUACAGAAACUGGUUUAUUUCUGUCAGAAAGCUGCAGUGCCACCUGAGUUCCAAAUUUUAACAUUCUUUGUAAACGGAUGGAUUAUGAUAAAGAAGAUGCUACCAAUGAAAUAGAAAACCAACGAGAUGAGAAGACUGUGAUCCUCAUGCACUCAGAGGCACUUCCCUUCUAAGUCAAAGACCAUUCUCACUGACUAUGUGCCAAGGCCUCACUUCAGGCUUGUGACUCAACAAAGGGCUUUUCCAUUGAUAGAAGCAGUUUGGGAUUUGUAGCUACAACUUCUUCGAUAGUUACCUGCAUGUCCAUUGCUGGCAGCUGACUUCAGUCAUUAAAACCUGGCUCUUUGGUUAAGGGAGCUACACUGUGGUUUAUUCUUAAGUUACAUGGAUAAACUAACCUCUAGCAGAAAUAUAGUUUGGUUAAUUUUGAGAUGUGUCAUUUUUAAACAAAAUCUUAAAAGCAAUACAGAAUUGUGAUUUAUUAAUUUUAAAUUAAAACAUUGAGAACUUGUUGAAAGAAAAAUUA